GACAGGAAAAUAUGGUGAAGCAUAUCUUCCCUUUGUCUUCACCUGCACAAGUGCCAAGGAGGAGCCUGGAAACGAGAGGGCAGCAAGCACGGGGUGCAUGGACACUUGGAAGCGAGGACACAGGGCACGGACACAGAGAGGAAGACAUGGCACGGGAGUCUGGGGCGCACGGGGAUUUAUUGUUGUGCAUUAUUUACGUCACUGUAAAUAAACGCACUGCUUGCAGUGAA